CUCUUGGACCUCAGCUCUUUUGUGAGAAGCAGUGCUGUAUAGCCAGAGAGCCUCUUCGCCAGUUGGGAAUAGCUGUGGGGCCUGGUUUGAUGAUGCCAAUAGUUCUCUCUCCAUCCGCACUCUCAUUUCCAAAAGUGGUGGAACAGAAUCUUCUUGUACCUCUCCUCUGAUGGGGAGAGAGAGAGACUGGAAAAGGAAAGGCUUUCAAGAGGGAUCACAUUUUCACUGACAGGAAUGCUUUGCUGUCUGACUAAUAAAAGCCCUCUAUACAAGCCUUCAGGCUUUAGCUCAGACUGUCUUUUUCACUUGUGCAAUAAGGCAUACUUUAAAUGCAAAACAUAGUAUUUUAUUGUUGCUCUUUUCGGUACUUUCAAUGUACUUAAAGGCUGCAUGUGCCUGAAUCCUUACCACAGCUGGCCUUGAUGAGUAAGAGUUGGAGGCACUGGAGUAAAACCAAUGUCAUACUUGCAGCGUAUAUUUAUGUACAUAGUUUGAAAGAUGAUGAUAUAUCUGCAGCUGCUACACUUUCUUUUUUAAUGAUAAAAAUCUGCAUAGGCUGAAGGAUAGGCUGGCUAAGUUCACUCAGGCAAAGACUAUUAAGGGCAGAGAUGACAUCAGGAAGUCACUACAUCACUAUUUGGUUGGAUGCUGGGAAAGCGCUCACGGAAAGUAUUGUUAUACCCUUGUAUUGUAUUAUUAUACACUUACUCUUUCCAGAAGUUGGCCAAUCUUUGAGAAAGAGGAUACUUGUCCUGAUGAUCCUUUACUCUGUGCCUGCACUUUUUUGUCUCCAGAACCAAAAUAGAAGCAUCGUGUACAUCAACAAGAAACCGUUCUGAUUGUAUAACUAAUGGAGAAAUCUGUCUGGUCAGAUGGCUGAUUUUUGUUUUCAUUUUAUUAUAAUACAUUUUGUUUUUUAAGGCUACAGCUUGACUUUGUUUUAGAAAGUCUAAUAGAAAAUAUUAUGAGUCUGGGAACUGCAAGGGAAUGCUUUUAUUAUGGCAUGUUUUAAAAAGUGGAUGAAUAAACACUGUUACAGGCGCUGUGUUCUUGUAAACUUUUGGGACAGUACGUAAAGUGGAAAGCAUAGGACAGUCUCAAAUGGGUGCUUACAGCAAAUCUAGCCAUAAUAAAUCAGUGCUGGGAGUUCCAAACUAGAAUAGUUGGAUGUGUACUAUUGCAGCAUAUGUCUCAGCUUAAAGAUGCUUUUCCUGACAAAACCUUUUUUAUUCAGGAGAAUGGGAACAGUGCUUUUGGGCCACUUAAACAGUGCUACAGAGACAGGUAGUUAAAAGCAAAAUGGAAACCUUAUUUCAGUGGAAAAACAGAACAGUUUUUUUCCUCAGUCUAAAAAAAUAACCCUACUGUGUUUUUUGGUAUCAACCCCUUGAAAGCCUUUUUGCCUCUUGGCACUGGUUGUACUGAGAACAACUGUGUUGUGUAUCGCUGUGUUGCACUGGGAUAUCCUGGCGUUAAGGAAUACUUUCCUAUUCCCAUUGAUACCAGCUAAGCCAUGCUGGGGGCAGAACUAUUAUUAUGUGAAAAUUAUCAGCUAUUGUGCUCCAUAGCUCUUACUGCUGUUUGCUAAUGGCUUGUUUCUGGAAACAGUUGCCUACCAGGGAAUCAUUCACUAACCUGGCAUACUUCAAACGGAUAACAUUACUCGGACCAAAUGUUUGUGAUUUGUUGCUCCGUACUGACCCUGAUGACUGCAGGAAGUUAUCAUUUGUGUGAUUAGGAGUUUGAAUGGCACGGCACUGGGUACAGGUGUCUGACCUCUGGAAGUGGUGAGGUAGUCUGCAAACUAUUGUGGAAGAGGGAUAAAACAAGGCCAACGUAACUUGACCUGCUAGCAGCAUCAAAUAAAACUUAGUUAUGCUACAGUAAUUAUAUUCUAAUAUCCUUUCCCAGAGAUACUCAAUUAUAAUAUAUAUGUAAUGUCUAUGCUAUAGUUACAUAAAUAAUAGCCUAUGCAGAACAGUGCAAAAUAAUCAGUCUUUUCUUAGGAAUGGCUAAGCUGCUUCUGAUAAGAGGCUGAGUGAUAAGUAAAUCAUAUUAUGAGAGUCAUGGAAGAAAGCCAAUGUAAAGGAAUAAGAGGCUGAGAAGUUCAUCUCCUCCUUUCCAGCAAGAAGAGAAUAGAGAGGAAUAAGAGGUUUGGCCACUGCUGGCAGAAGAUGAAAAAAACAUAUUUUGCUGCCGCAGGAUCAGUUAAAUGGGAAGGCUGCAUAAAAAAUGUGCCAUAAUAACUGCUGAAACUUAGCUUUUCCUAUCCAAAUGUAAUAAACAGUCCACUGACAAAAUAAAAUGCUUAAGUUAUAUAGUAUGUCUUUCCUGUCCCUAGCAUUAUUGAUUUCUGUUUGGAUGUAAUUCUGUUGUUCGUGUAUUAGUUUAUUUAAUUAUUAGUCUUAGCUUUAGCUAAAUAUGAUGAGAUUGGCUUCUAACUAAAGUUGUCUGUGUUUUGGUCAGUGGUUUUCUAUAGGAUGAACAACUUGUUACUGUACUUUGACUUAUAUUCUUAUAAUACAAAUACUCAUUUACGUAUUAUUCAUGGGACUAUCUUGCAGUAAAUAAUAUGAAGCAUGGAUGUUUUAAGCAAGCUGAGGUUUCCAGUGUCAAAAGGGAGCUAGGACAGUCUAAUUCCC
ensembl:lncRNA